rfam:Stegodyphus mimosarum contig104556, whole genome shotgun sequence.
GCAUCGGUGGUUCAGUGGCGGAAUGCUCGCCUGUCACGCGGAUGGCCCGGGUUCGUUUCCCAGCCGAUACA